ACACACACACACACACACACAGCAAGUAGUCCUCUGACCUAUACACACACACACACACAGCAAGUAGUCCUCUGACCUCCACAUACACAUACACACACACACACACACACACACACAGCAAGUAGUCCUCUGACCUCCACAUACACACACACACACACACACACACACACACACACACACAGAGCAAGUAGUCCUCUGACCUCCACAUACACACACACACACACAGCAAGUAGUCCUCUGACUUCCACAUUCACACCCACUAAUGGCCCCCCGCCAUACAGUAAGUGGUCCUCUGACUUCUACAUGCACACCCACCCCCCCAACGCACAAACACACACAUAAAUUUUCCAACAUUUUUAGGCUGUAACUAGAAAUUCAUAUUACACUUUUUCAAAUAACAAGUACAACAGAAUAUGACAGUGUCUCCAAUUAUUUGAGAAAAAUGGUAGUUGUAUAACCAACAUCAAUUUAAACAAAA
rnacentral:lncRNA from 1 species